UUUUCCUGCCUCAGCCUCCUGAGUAGCUGGAACUACAGGCGCCGCGCCACCACUCCCGGCUAAUUUUUUUAUUUUAUUUUAUUUUUUAUUUUUAGUAGAGACGGGGUUUCACCGUAGCCAGAAUGGUCUUGAUCUCCUGACCUCGUCAUCCGCCCGCCUCGGCCUCCCAAAGUGCUGGGCUUACAGGCGUGAGACACUGCGCCCGGCCCAUACUACUACUUUUUUGGACACACAUGACAUUUGGUGCCAAAACCUGGACAGGAAGACUCCUUCAGGAGACUGGUACCCUGUCCUCGUCAUCACUCCGUGAGGCAAUCCACCUAUGACCUUGGGUCCUCAGACCCACCAGCCCAAGGAACAUCUCACCAAUUUCAUAUCGGGCUUCCAAGGCGAUUGGGCAGUGUCAGUCUUCAGCUGCUAAGCCGAGAAGAUCUGGGAAGGAGUCACUCAGAGAGCCUUGGGCCAGAGUUCCAGGGGAUCUGGAAGCGGCUGCCAGAAUGAGAAGACUUCUCUCAAAAGAAAGUCUAGAAUUCUAUGGUUGUGAAAAGUUGUGACUGGAA
ensembl:lncRNA LINC01090 long intergenic non-protein coding RNA 1090